AGUCGAACGCUUCUUUCCUCCCGAGUGCUUGCACUCAAUUGGAAAGAGGAGUGGCGGACGGGUGAGUAACACGUGGGUAACCUACCCAUCAGAGGGGGAUAACACUUGGAAACAGGUGCUAAUACCGCAUAACAGUUUAUGCCGCAUGGCAUAAGAGUGAAAGGCGCUUUCGGGUGUCGCUGAUGGAUGGACCCGCGGUGCAUUAGCUAGUUGGUGAGGUAACGGCUCACCAAGGCCACGAUGCAUAGCCGACCUGAGAGGGUGAUCGGCCACACUGGGACUGAGACACGGCCCAGACUCCUACGGGAGGCAGCAGUAGGGAAUCUUCGGCAAUGGACGAAAGUCUGACCGAGCAACGCCGCGUGAGUGAAGAAGGUUUUCGGAUCGUAAAACUCUGUUGUUAGAGAAGAACAAGGACGUUAGUAACUGAACGUCCCCUGACGGUAUCUAACCAGAAAGCCACGGCUAACUACGUGCCAGCAGCCGCGGUAAUACGUAGGUGGCAAGCGUUGUCCGGAUUUAUUGGGCGUAAAGCGAGCGCAGGCGGUUUCUUAAGUCUGAUGUGAAAGCCCCCGGCUCAACCGGGGAGGGUCAUUGGAAACUGGGAGACUUGAGUGCAGAAGAGGAGAGUGGAAUUCCAUGUGUAGCGGUGAAAUGCGUAGAUAUAUGGAGGAACACCAGUGGCGAAGGCGGCUCUCUGGUCUGUAACUGACGCUGAGGCUCGAAAGCGUGGGGAGCAAACAGGAUUAUAUACCCUGGUAGUCCACGCCGUACACGAUGAGUGCUAAGUGUUGGAGGGUUUCCGCCCUUCAGUGCUGCAGCAAACGCAUUAAGCACUCCGCCUGGAGAGUACGACCGCAGGGUUGAAACUCAAAGGAAUUGACGGGGGCCCGCACAAGCGGUGGAGCAUGUGGUUUAUUUCAAACCACGCGAAAAAACCUUACCAGGUCUUGACAUCCUUUGACCACUCUAGA
rnacentral:rRNA from 1 species